GGUGAACACGAGAGAACACGAUGAACAUGACGGAGGCGGAGCUGCCCAGGACCGUGCGCUCCCGAUGCCACAGGAGAACAGAGGCGGUGUCUACGGAGCAGCCAGAAAGUCUACGUGCAGAUACGGCUCAGUGCAACUUGAACAAUUCUACGAUUUCCAAAGAAUGUGUCCUGUCUGUGAACUUUUUUAUUUUAUUAAUCUCCAUUUGGCAAUGAACACCAAUGUAUUUUAUAUUCCAGCCUCGCUCACAUCUGAGCACGUGUAAUAAAUCCUCCUGCAUGUACCUCUUCUGUCCUGUAGAGGUCAGACAAGAGUCACACCAGUGUUCUAUGUUCACAGCAUGGAUCUAUCCUAGUGGAUCUAUUAGGUUCACAGUGUGGGUAAAGGACUCUGUUUUGUUACUUAACGGUGCAUUGGACAAAAAUUUGAGUAUCGAAUAUAUUGGUAUAACUGUAAAAUAUGCAAGUGCUGUUUAAAAAUAUGAAUGAUUCAAACAAUGGUAUGCAGGAUACUUUCGGGGGUUUUUUUUGGGGGUUUUUUUUUGUAAAUGUAUUGUUUAUUUGCAGCAAUUUAGUAACCAGAACUUGCAGUAACCUCAUUUUGGUCAUUAUUAUUCCCCCCUACUUCUUGUCUGCUUUCACUACUGACUAACAACCCUCUGAAACUCUCUGAAAGCAGACCAGGCAGAAGCUACAAAAUACUCUUGUCCGGUGGUGGGAAAAGUACUGCAAAUGUGUACUCAAGUAAAAGUACAGUUACAUAGCUAAAAUGUAUUCCAUUACAAGUGCAAAUACUGCUGCCAAAACUGUACUUAAAGGUCCUAUAGUACGAAAAAUAGAUUCUUGUAAGCUUUGAGCCAUGUUCUAAUGCUAUUACAUCAUCCAAAACAUACCUGGUGUUCUGUUUUGUUUCAUUCAAACAUAUUUGUGUAAUCCUUAAUUACAGAUGUGGAACAGUUGUA